rnacentral:rRNA from 1 species
AUUGAACGCUGGCGGCAGGCCUAACACAUGCAAGUCGAACGGUAACAGGAAGCAGCUUGCUGCUUUGCUGACGAGUGGCGGACGGGUGAGUAAUGUCCGGGAAACUGCCCGAUGGAGGGGGAUAACUACUGGAAACGGUAGCUAAUACCGCAUAACGUCGCAAGACCAAAGAGGGGGACCUUAGGGCCUCUUGCCAUCGGAUGUGCCCAGAUGGGAUUAGCUAGUAGGUGGGGUAACGGCUCACCUAGGCGACGAUCCCUAGCUGGUCUGAGAGGAUGACCAGGCCCACUGGGACUGAGACACGGUCCAGACUCCUACGGGAGGCAGCAGUGGGGAAUAUUGCACAAUGGGCGCAAUCCUGAUGCAGCCAUGCCGCGUGGAUGAAGAAGGGCUUCGGGUUGUAAAGUACUUUCAGCGGGGAGGAAGGGAGUAAAGUUAAUACCUUUGCUCAUUGACGUUACCCGCAGAAGAAGCACCGGCUAACUCCGUG